GCUUCAGACACUUCGUUCUGUCCCAUAAGUCAAGGUCACACUGGAAGCAGACCAGUUAACUGGAAGUUUCCAGUCCCAUAAACAGAGCCACAGGCGGACGUGUUGCUGAGCAGAGCUGCAGCUGGGAUGAGCCAGAAAUGAGGGCGGCCAUGUUGCAUCAGCGAUGACAGGAGAUAACGAGCUGAUCCUCCGAGCCUCCCAGCCCGACCGUAACUCAUCGGAUGAGACGGAUCGCAUCCUGUUCGGGGCGGGGGGUCAGAGGUUUCCUCCCGAGGGACUCUUGAGCUCGCUGUCAAAUCUCCUGGUUCUGAUCGUCUGCAGAAAGAUUCAGAGCAGAGAUGACCUCUGACCUCUGGAGCUCAGACUGCAACACAAACAGUGAAUUCAGGAACAGGAGAAGAAAUCUCAGGCAUGAAACGAACAGAAACCAGAGCGCCGCAGGGAUUACAGGAGCUCCUGGUCCGACCCGGAUCAGCCCGACCCGGACCGGCCCGACCCGGAUCCAUUAAAACAUAAGAGUUAAAACCUCCACCGACUGAGCCUUUAACGGUUCAAUUAAAUCCACUCUGGAAGAUUAAAGCAUCCUGUCUGCUUCACUUCAAUGUUCUCCUGGAUUUCCUGUUUUGAAGAGUUUCUCCACUGAUCAAUUCAACAAAAUACAGUAUAAAUUAAAUAAUACAGAGGU